rnacentral:lncRNA from 1 species
GGGCAUAACUCUCAUUUUCUUCCAAGCAACUAGCUUGAGAAUAAAGUAAUAUAUAAAAACAAGAAACACCCUUAUGGUUUCCAAUGUGGGGCUAAACAUCUCACAUGAAAAUUUUAGUUGGGCUCCCCAAGAGGCCCAUUAACAAUUAUUGGGCUCUCUAGAAGUUUUAAAAAGUUUUAAAUCAUAAAAACCCAAUAAAUCCAAUAUUCGCCUACAUAAUUUAAAACUUGAAAUAAAGAAAGCAAAUAAACUGAAAUUCAAAAUAAAUUAAAAUAAUGCUGGAUCUUUUAAACCAUGUAUUCGGUAAAAGUACCUUUCGGGUUUGAACCUUCACUUAGUACUUGUCAAUGUACAUCCGAGGGCACGAUGGUGGACUACGACUUGAACCAAGGCCGGUGAGUCAGAUUUCUGCGAACAGCACAAUGGUACAGCUGUUUAGGUUCUAAGCGGGUGAAUGCUUUUAUGGCCAUGCGCUAGUAUCGCUUCGUGUGUGUUUUAGAGAACCACCCUCAUCCCAUAGUCGUGGCCUCACGACUCCAUACAUAUAGUAGGUCCUCAAAGGGUAUCUGCAAGGUCACACCCUGCCUUAUAGGUCUUGGAGCUAUUCAGGGCCAACGCCCUUCCUAUCCACUUGCAAAUAUGAGCAUUGUCGCCAUAGCGAUGAGCAUAUAAAAACAAUGCUUGUAAUAUACCGAAUUUUUAAUAUAAAAAUAGAUGUAAAUAAAAAUAAUGUAAAAUACUAUUUUUAUAGGAUUUAGAGAAGUAAAAUAUAAGUCGGAAGCGACUCGUGCUGAAAUCAGAACGAAAACAGAAGAUUUAAAAUUUUCUGUGAGAAACGGGGCUGAUAUUUUAGCAGAAAAUGGACAGUGUCAGAAAAUUAUGAAAACUGGAGAAUAUGUUAGAAUUAUUUUUAUGAGGCUAAAUUUAAAGUUUUAUGUCAUUCUGACACCCGAAAGGUGAAAAAUAAAAUCCGAUUGCUAUCUGCUAGAGAUUACAGUUCGGUAGAGCUUUCGGUGACUAAAUAUGGUCCAAACUGAAAUGUUAAGAUAUAUUUCUUCUCAGUAGAUGAAAUCGAGCCUGACUGUCAAAUUUGAGCGAAAACGGAGGCUCCGGCGAAAAGUAUCAAAUUCUGAAUUAGGAACCGUAUUAAGGAAAGAAAUUUCAGCAAUAGUGAGGGGGUUAUGUGCAAUUGUGUUUAGCCUUAUCUUCAUCCUAGCCAUGGUGCAUAUGCAGGGAUCUUCUCUAUCCUUAUCCCCUUCAUCCUAUACGUAUGAGAAAGAGAGAGGAAAAGGAAGAGAAAAGAAAAAGAAGAUAAGGAUUGAGAGUUUGGGAAGGAAAAUUAAAAGAGAAAUGGAGUAGAGAAUUGAUGGAUUUUUAGAGGAUGAAGCUCCAGCACAUGGGGAGCUCGAGUGGCUGUGAGUUAAGGUGAGUUAAUUUGUAAUUUCUAAUUAGGGAUUAUGGUAUUUACUCUAUAAGAAAUUGAGUUUUGGAUUUUUGGGUUGAUAGAGCUUAUAAAUACUAUGAAUUUCUAGAGAGAAAUAAUAUCCUGUAGCAUGUAUGUGAAUUUGAGCUAUAGGUUUUGGCUGCUAGUACUUGUGUAUUGCCAUGAGAUCUAGAGAGAAAGCUAUGUAUAUAGUAUGUGUGUGAGCUGUUGGUUGGAGAUUGAAAGUUUUGGGAUAGCCCAAGGAUCUAUCUAGAUUGUAUCCAACACCUAGAGGAGGGUGAAUAGGUGUAAAGGGCCAAAAAUCAUAAAUCUCGAUGCGAUAAAAAUAAAUACGGAAAAUAAAAAUCACAUCGAGAUUUAUGUGGAAAGCUCCAACAAGGAGUAAAAAACUACGGGACCAACACGCGAUAACAAUCCACUAAGAAUAAAAGAUUACAAGAUGAUUUACCGAUUCCACGGACUCAAACAUCUCUUUUAUCUUCUUCGGAUCUCGCGCACACCAACAGGUUGUCCACGCCCCACGUCCGAAUCUACGAACGCCACGUCCCGAAUCAACGAAACAUCCACACUUCAAAUCCACGAAGCCUUGAUCACGCCGAAUCCACGACGCCCACUCGAAUCCACGAGCACACUCCGUCCGGA